rnacentral:lncRNA from 1 species
UGCAGGAGGACGUGGCCAAGAGCGUCCUGUUGUCAUCCACAUGUGUGGCCUCUUCAGUUUCUCCCACUCUCUGGUCAGUCUGUUCAGCAGCUCCCCUUUCCAGCAGGUGGAACAAGGGUGGGCAGGAACUGAGGCGGACGUGGACUUAGCACAGGACAGCACAAAACUCUGGGCUUGGCAAGAUCUGAGAAACCUUUACUUCCCCAGACCAGCAGGAGAAACGGAGUUCACAGGCAACACACACAGACACACACAAAUAUACAGAUACACACACAGAGAUACACAGAGAUACACACACACACAGAACACACACAUACACAGACACACACAAAUAUAGACACACACAGAGACAGAGAGACACAAAUAUACAGACACACACACAGAGAGACAGAGAUACACAUACAUACACACACACAGAACACACACACAGACACACACAAAUAUACAGACACACACAGACAGAUACACAAACAUACACAGAGAACACACACAUACACAGACACAAAUAUACAGACACACACACAGAGAUACACAUACACACACACACACAUACACAGACACACACAAAUAUACAGACACACAGAGACACACAGAGAUGCACACACAAACAUAUACACACACAGAACACACACAUACAUACACAGACAUACACAAAUAUACAGAGACACACAGAGAUACACAUACACACACAGAACACACAAAUAUAUACUCAGACACAUAGAAAUAUAUAAAUACAGACAGAGAGACACACAGAGAUACACAAACACACACACAGAACACACACAUACACAGGCACACACAAAUAUACAGACACACACAGAGAGACACACAGAGAUACACAUACACACACAGCACACACACAUACACAGACAGACACAGAGAGACACACAGAGAUACAUGGACAUACACACACACACACACCCAUACACAGAUACACACAAAUAUACAGAUACAUAGAGAGACACACAGAGAUACUCACACAAACAUACACACACACAUACAUACUCAGACACAAAGAUACAGAUACACACAGAGAGACACAGAGAACACACACAUACAUAGACACACACAAAUAUACAGACACACACAGAGAGACACACAGAGAUACUCACACAAACAUACACACAGAACACACACAUACAUACACACACAAAUAUACAGAUACACACAGACAGACACACAGAGAUACACACACACACAGAACACACACACAUACACAGAUACAAAUAUACAGACACACACAGACACAGAUACACAAACAUACACACAUGCACAGAACACACACAGACACACAUACACAGACAUGCAGAUACACACACACAUUGACACACAUACAAACACACACAGUAGCGCACACACACAGACACAGACACAGCCAGACACACACAGAGACACAGAGAUGCACCACACUGAAUCCUGUAGGAAGAGCCCAAAUGCCCGUCACAGGCCAAGCUCAGUUCCCUGACAUCUCCAGAUCCAGCAAAGACCACAUCCUCAUCUGCAUAUGCAGCUAACAAAAUACCAACGCUGCACAAGUGAUAAAGAGCAAACAUUUAUUUCCUCCCCAUUCCAGAGGCUGAGAAGUCCAGGGUCCAGGCACCAGCAGGUUUGGUGUCUGCGAGGGCCGCUCUCUGCUCCCAGGACGGCACCUUGUGCUGCCACCUCUGGGGUGGAAGGUGAGGGACAGGUGCGGAACAGGCGCUGUGUGAGCCUCCUUCACGAGAGCCUUGAUUCCCUCAGGAGGAGCAGCCCUCACGGCCUCACCAGCUCUUGGUGGCCCCACCUCUUUGCACCAUCCCUUUGGCCAUUAUGUCUCAACCCCUGGGGUCAGACUCAGACUUGAUGCCCAAGAUCUGACCAGGAGCCAUGGGGUGCUGGCACCGUCCCAGGCUCUGGCAUUACAGGGCAGACAUGAAACACUGUGGAC